UGAGCGUCCUUUGUCCCGUGAGUAACUUGCAUCCAAUCUUAGUGCUCAUCGCAAACGCCAGUUCUUCGAGUGACUGACUGACACCUUAUUGAAGGAGUAGGAAAGUUGGGAGUGAAAUUUGACUGAAGGUCUUUGUUCCCGUCGGGUGACAUUGGCAAACCGACAAAAUGGAAACCCCGUCUUGUUGUUCAUGUCGCGUCUUAAAUGGUGCAUCAUUGAGAAGCUUUCCCCGUUGUCUGGAGAGUAACAACCGGUCAGUCUUGGCCUUAGUUUGGAUGCAGAGCACUAUUGCCUCCACAAGGGGCUUUUUUAUUCCAAUAUCGCUAAGAACCAACUAGGGAUUGGAUCCCAGCCCACCGACAAUGUCUUUCCACCGAGUGAUGGGGGAUCCAAUGAUGCAGCAGGUGAUUUAGAGUCUGGUCACAGAGUUCUCACCUCGUCCUCGUCGAAGUCGCCGUCUUCGCAAAGGCUUGUCUGGAAUUCAUGAGAUCCAUUUGACCAAGAUCAAGGCCGAGAGCAAUCUAGCCAAUCAUUGAUCUUCAAUUUGGAACUGCUUUCGACUCCUUGGACACACACCACGCGGACCGGAGUUUGGUGCAUUAGCAUACUGUACCUUCCAGGUGAAUUACGUGCUUCAGGAUUUGUUCCCAUAUUGGAUUAUUGCUCCCUCUGUAAAGUAUACGAGUGUGUUCUUAUUAAUGUGAAUGUGCUAAAGCACCAUAUCUUCACGGCCAUCAAAGAGGCCCUUCUUUCAAGACCUUUUCCUCACCUUGAGUGGAAUAUCAAAACCGAUCAGCAUUGUCAGGCCAAGCAGGGACCAGGAGCACCAAUCAAACGGAUCCUAUCACUCCCAAUCGCGGUCUUGGCCAAAAAGGUUUUCUACAUUAAAUGGUUGCUCACCCAAGAAAAACGAGCCUCGGUCGUGUCAACAUGAAUAAAAGGCCGAACAGCCUCACCUCGUGUCGACAAGGUCGAAAGGGAGCACCUGCAUUGGCCAGAUCACAUUCUCAAGGCUGCUGUUACCAACACCACCAUCUUCACCACCACCACUGGCAUGUGAGUGUCGUCCUUGUGGUCUUUCUCUCGUUCUUUACCUCGACAACAGUCUCAGACGGCGAGUCGACUACCGUUACAACCCAAACCAUUGGAAUCGUAGGUGGCAAUGCAGAUUUGUUUUGCAACACUACGGCUUCGUCUCCCAGUCAUCCAGUGAUCCUGGUGAUUUGGUAU